rfam:Selaginella moellendorffii unplaced genomic scaffold SELMOscaffold_20, whole genome shotgun sequence.
GACGGUUUGGCCGAGUGGUCUAAGGCGUUGGAUUUAGGCUCCAAUCCGUAAGGGCGUGGGUUCAAAUCCCACAGCCGUCA